UUCAGCUCUCAGCAAGGCUCAAACUGUGAUUCCAACAGAUGCAACUGAAGAAGGUUCUGCAGCUAACGUUGGGACUCGUCCAAACUCCAGAUCAAGUCCAAGAUCUGGGGAGGGCAACAAACAGAAGGGAAUGAUUCUCCCAUUUCAACCAUUGACAAUGACUUUCUAUAAUGUCAACUACUUUGUUGACAUGCCACCGGAGAUGCGUGCUCAAGGAAUAACGGA